rnacentral:rRNA from 2 species
CAAUCAAGUGUGAUAAGGGCAUCUGGUGGAUGCCUUGGCGCUAAGAGGCGAUGAAGGACGUGGUACGCUGCGAUAAGCCCUGGGGAGCUGCGAACGAGCUUUGAUCCGGGGAUUUCCGAAUGGGGCAACCCACCUUCAGUGACCAGUGAACAGUGGGCAGUUGCCGGAGCGAUCUGGUGGCUGGUUACUGUUUACUGGUUGCUAUGAGAAGGUAUUUGAUCCUGAAUACAUAGGGGUCAAAGGCGAACCCGGGGAACUGAAACAUCUCAGUACCCGGAGGAAAGGACAUCAACGAGACUCCGUCAGUAGCGGCGAGCGAACGCGGACCAGGCCAAUGCUCACAUUCUUCUCAACCGGAACCGUCUGGAAAGUCGGGCACUAUGGGUGACAGCCCCGUACGGGUUCAGGGAGGUGUGGGAUACGAGUAGGGCGGGACACGUGAAAUCCUGUCUGAACAUGGGGGACCACCCUCCAAGCCUAAGUACUCCUUAGCGACCGAUAGCGAACCAGUACCGUGAGGGAAAGGUGAAAAGCACCCCGACGAGGGGAGUGAAACAGUCCCUGAAACCGGAUGCCUACAAACAGUGGGAGCCCAAGGUUUGUCCUGGGUGACCGCGUACCUUUUGUAUAAUGGGUCAGCGACUUGAAGUAGCGAGCAAGCUUAAGCCGUGAGGUGUAGGCGCAGCGAAAGCGAGUCUGAACAGGGCGUUCAGUUCGUUGCUUCAGACCCGAAACCGAGUGAUCUAGCCAUGAGCAGGUUGAAGGUGCGGUAACACGCACUGGAGGACCGAACCGGUGUCUGUUGAAAAAGCCUCGGAUGACUUGUGGUUAGGGGUGAAAGGCCAAUCAAACUCGGAGAUAGCUGGUUCUCCGCGAAAGCUAUUUAGGUAGCGCCUCGCGUUUAUGCUCCAGGGGUAGAGCACUGGAUGGGCUAGGGCUGUCCACAACGGUACCAAACCUAACCAAACUCCGAAUACCUGGAAGACUUGCGCGGGAGACACACGGCGGGUGCUAACGUCCGUCGUGGAGAGGGAAACAACCCUGACCUACAGCUAAGGCCCCCAAUUCGUGGCUAAGUGGGAAAGGAUGUGGGAACCCCAAAACAACCAGGAGGUUGGCUUAGAAGCAGCCAUCCUUUAAAGAAAGCGUAACAGCUCACUGGUCUAAACAAGGGUUCCUGCGCCGACAAUGUAACGGGGCUCAAGCCACGAGCCGAAGCUUAGGAUCUGGUGACCAGUUAUCAGUGAACAGUGAAGAUUACUGAUAACUGGUCACCGGGUGGUAGCGGAGCGUUCCGUAGGCCUGUGAAGGGAUACUCGUGAGGGGUCCUGGAGGUAUCGGAAGUGAGAAUGCUGACAUGAGUAACGACAAACAGCGUGAGAGACGCUGUCGCCGAAAGUCCAAGGGUUCCUGUGUAAAGUUAAUCUGCGCAGGGUUAGCCGGCUCCUAAGGCGAGGCCGAAAGGCGUAGUCGAUGGGAAUGCGGUGAAUAUUCCGCAGCCUGCGGGUGGUGACGGAUCUGAAGUGUUGUGCAUCCUUACUGGAUUGGGUGUGCUUCUGGAUGGUCCCUGGAAACAGCCCCCGUAUUAUAGACCGUACCCGAAACCGACACAGGUGGACUGGCAGAGUAUGCCAAGGCGCUUGAGAGAACGAUGCUGAAGGAACUCGGCAAAUUACCUCCGUAACUUCGGGAUAAGGAGGCCCUGUCAUCGGGCAACCGGUGGCGGGGGGCACAGACCAGGGGUGGCGACUGUUUAGCAAAAACACAGGGCUCUGCGAAAUCGCAAGAUGACGUAUAGGGUCUGACGCCUGCCCGGUGCCGGAAGGUUAAGAGGAGAGGUGAGAGCUUUGAAUCGAAGCCCCGGUAAACGGCGGCCGUAACUAUAACGGUCCUAAGGUAGCGAAAUUCCUUGUCGGGUAAGUUCCGACCUGCACGAAUGGCGUAACGACUUCCCCGCUGUCUCCAGCAUCGACUCAGUGAAAUUGAAUUCCCCGUGAAGAUGCGGGGUUCCUGCGGUCAGACGGAAAGACCCCGUGCACCUUUACUGUAGCUUUGCGCUGGCAUUCGUGUCGGCAUGUGUAGGAUAGGUGGAAGGCUUUGAAGCAUGGGCGCCAGCCUGUGUGGAGCCGCCCUUGAAAUACCACCCUUGGCGACAUGGAUGUCUAACCGCGAUCCGUUAUCCGGGUCCGGGACAGCGCAUGGCAGGCAGUUUGACUGGGGCGGUCGCCUCCCAAAGAGUAACGGAGGCGCGCGACGGUGGGCUCAGACCGGUCGGAAAUCGGUCGUUGCGUGCAAUGGCAUAAGCCUGCCUGACUGCGAGACGGACAUGUCGAGCAGAGACGAAAGUCGGCCAUAGUGAUCCGGUGGUCCCGCGUGGGUGGGCCAUCGCUCAACGGAUAAAAGGUACGCCGGGGAUAACAGGCUGAUGAUCUCCAAGAGUCCAUAUCGACGAGAUCGUUUGGCACCUCGAUGUCGACUCAUCACAUCCUGGGGCUGGAGCAGGUCCCAAGGGUUCGGCUGUUCGCCGAUUAAAGUGGUACGUGAGUUGGGUUCAGAACGUCGUGAGACAGUUCGGUCCCUAUCUGCCGUGGGUGUAGGAGAUUUGAGAGGAUCUGUCCCUAGUACGAGAGGACCGGGAUGGACGUACCUCUGGUGGACCUGUUGUGGCGCCAGCCGCAGUGCAGGGUAGCUAUGUACGGACGGGAUAACCGCUGAAGGCAUCUAAGCGGGAAACCCACCUCGAAACGAGAUCUCCCUUGAGAGCCGUGGAAGACCACCACGUCGAUAGGCCGGGUGUGCAAGCGCAGCAAUGCGUUGAGCUUACCGGUACUAAUCGCUCGAUUGGCUUGAUUGC